ensembl:lncRNA
CCACAUCCGAGUACCGUCGGCCUCUGCGCACAGCCCGCCGCUGCCGCCAUCUUGAACUGAGGUGCCGUGCGCUGCAAUUCUGCCCACGACCCGCCCAGCUAAAGCGUCAGUGCAGCCUUAGAACUCCAGGCCUCAACCCACCACACUCUAUGAGCAAUUGAACCUAGACUAAGCGCAAAGGAUUAAAAAAAAAAAAAAAAAAAGGUCCCUGUUGGGUUCAUUUUCUGGGAUUGUUUGAUUCCCCCGUCUGAAAAGAACAUGACUUGAGUUGUUCUGUUCUUUGUCUGCUUCCUCUUGGGCUUUUGAAAAGACUGUGGCCUUUUCUUCACCUGUUAGGAGUACACUGAGGAGACUCUGGAUGUCAGCCCAGAUCAGAAAGGGUAAAUGAGACAUGUACGUGGAUGAGCCCUCUUUCUCCAUCAGGGACCUGCCUCAAAGAAAGUACUUUCCCUGGAUGGGAAAAACAGGAGGAAGAUUUAAGCAAAGAAACUAAAUCUGUCAAUAUAUUCAAGAUCUGGGGGAGAGAGAAAAGAGAAAAAACUCCAGUUUACGAAAGAGAAAAAGCGUCUUUUGAGAAAAGCGGCUGUCACUUAUUACACUGGUCCAAUCAGGACCCUCUUCAGGCAAUUCUAGAACUUAGAUGAUUCUCUCAUCCCUAUUAGACAUAGAAAAGAAAGCAUGUAGCCCAGGAACAGGUUUCCUAAUGGCAGCAUGACUGACAUUUUGCUCUGAAUAAUUGUCGGGCAGACCAGUCUGUUCUGUAUACUCCUGGCCUCUACCUACUAGGCACCAGUAGCAUCAUGCCCCUUCUCCCCAGCUGUAUCAACCAAAAAUGUCU